rnacentral:lncRNA from 1 species
AAAAGCAGCUACUUCUUUCCCUUCUCCUCUUCCUUCUCCUUCCUUUCUUCUUCUUCUCUUCUUCUCCUUCCUCCCCUUCUUCUCCCCGACGAACAGCACCUCCUUUCCUCUGUUUCCUCGUGCAGGAAACAGAGGUGCCGCCUCUUCACCCGCUUCUACUUCUUCUCUUCUUCCUCACCAUCUCUUCCUCUCCUUCUCUUCCAACUGCAGCUUCCACCGCCACAGCCGCAGCUCCUCCUUUCCCUUCUCUUCUUCUUCUUCCCUCCUCCUCCUCCCCGGCGUCACACACACCCUCUCCUUUGUUUCCU